rnacentral:rRNA from 1 species
CCUACGGGAGGCAGCAGUGGGGAAUAUUGCACAAUGGAGGCAACUCUGAUCCAGCCAUGCCGCGUGGGUGAAGAAGGACUUCGGUAUGGAAAGCUCCGUUAGCAGGGAGGAAAAUGACGGUACCUGACUAAGAAGCACCGGCUAACUACGUGCCAGCAGCCGCGGCUAUACGUAGGCGGCAAGCGUUAUCCGGAGUAACUGGGUGUAAAGGGAGCGUAGACGGGAAGGCAAGUCAGAAGUGAAAGCCCGUGGCCCAACCACGGGACUGCAUUGGAAACUGUGUUGCUGGAGUGCAGGAGGGGUAGGCGGAAUGGCUGGUGUAGCGGUGAAAUGCGUAGAUAUUAGGAGGAACACCGGUGGCGAAGGCGGCUUACUGGGCUGUAACUGACGUUGAGGCUCGAAGGCGUGGGGAGCAAACAGGAUUAGAUACCCGGGUAGUC